UUCUCCCCCUUCUCCUGCCGUAUGAAGCCGCUUCAGCAUUGGCUCCCGCAGACCCCGGCCACCCUGUCACAAAUGAGGACCCACUUCAGCAAAGCCAGCUGCCACCCUAGUCUUUCCGUGGCCACUAGCCGCCCUUAGCAGGUGUCACCAAGUGUGGCCGGAUCUCGGAUUUGUGAUGGCCUCCCUUAGUCACUUUCUGGAACCCAACAUGCAGUACAAGGCCGGAAGACUUCUUCCCGGAAGGUGAAGCAGCCCUAGGAGCUGGGGCAGAGGGAGCAGUGAAUCAGCUGCUGGGAUUCAGACUCAGGCCCCACCAGCAAUCCUUGCCCACCCAGGGCCCGUCCACUGUUGCUGACUGAGCGGAGGUUCCCACACUUGGCUACUAAGAAACACAGCAAAUGAUCUGCCUGUUAGAGUAUAUCUGCAAGCCUGCUAGAGAAAGAGUGGAGCUCUUCCCUGACAUGCUGGCAGCUGCUGAAGGUAUGUUCAUGCCGCCUGGCACAAGCCCUCGGGUCAAGAGAAAGAGCCAAGAAUCUGCACCGUGUCCCAACCCAGUGUCUGUCUACAGGGCAGGACAAAGGGGCCAGUGGGUCUGGUUAGAGGCAGGUAACUUGCAUCUCAUAUCCCCCCAAAGGUCUUUUUGUUUUUCCUCCAUGACAACUCAGGCCCACAAGCAGCAGAGAGAAGGGGAAGGACUAUCCUUUAGUGUACUACUGAAAGGUUUUUUCAGAAACAUUUUAAGUCUGUAGUAAUAAAAUGGUUUUUAUUCAACUGAUCUGCUUUCCUAGGUGAGAAUGGGAAGCUUGGAAGUGCAACUUACAUGUGAGUCAGAAGCAACACAGAACUAUUACAAAAUGUCAUACAAAGCCAUGCUUUUUUAGGUAGUGUGCUAACAAACUAUUCUAGAAAGAAGAGAACAUACACCUGUUUAAACAACUCUAAGAUAACGCUUUAGAAGUCAGGCCUACCCAAAAGUGAAUAAACUUGCUACGAAUGCAGGUGAGGGUUCCUGGCUAGGUCUGAGCCCUCACUCCCUCUACUUAAUAUAGUAUUUCAUGGCUUUACAGAAACAAGCCUCCCAGAAGGAGCACUGGAGAGCUGGGAAAUCAGAGGUCAAAGCCAAGCCCCUGCUGACUGUCAGAGGGGCCUGUUUCACCCAGCCACAUGAGGCAAGGCCACAGUGGGUGGCAGUGGGGGGUGUGGGCACCCUGGGCUCGGCUGCCCUGGGACCCGGGAUCCACAGGGGGCAGAUCACAGGCCUCUCUGAAUGACAUGGGACAGAACUGAAUUAGCGAAAGGACUCUGGAAGAUGACCAGCAGAUACAACUGCAAAGCUCCAGAGCACGACCUAGACCACCAAAGUGGCCCUGAGCAUCACUUGGAAACCACCAGCACACGUGGCUCCCACCCACUGGUGUGUCCAGUGCUCCCGGCCCCAUGCUCCCCUGCCAGUUGGCACUGCCAGCCCACAGUGAAUCAGCAAUGAGCCGAACUCCGUUCCCAGUGGGCUCUGGAAUUCAGGACCUAAUUCUUCCGGUAACAAACAGAUCUACCUUCAGAAUUACCUUUGCUGAGAAUAUUGUUAAAUCCUGUCUAAAUUCUCUGCAAAGGUGCUGGCUACCCACAGGAAGUCAGGUAGGCGAGGGGGAGGAAUGCAGACCUAGAGGGAAGGUAACUGCCUGCUGGAGCACCAGGAGGACCGCCCCCGGUGCACAUGUGACACACGGAUCUCCGUUUUUAAACAGUUCUUAAAAAGAAAUAAGCUUUCUUAAAAAGAAAAGCACAGAAUAUUAAGCCUAA